rnacentral:rRNA from 1 species
CACGCAGGCGGUUUGUUAAGUCAGAUGUGAAAUCCCCGGGCUCAACCUGGGAACUGCAUUUGAAACUGGCAAGCUAGAGUCUCGUAGAGGGGGUAGAAUUCCAGGUGUAGCGGUGAAAUGCGUAGAGAUCUGGAGGAAUACCGGUGGCGAAGGCGGCCCCUGGACGAAGACUGACGCUCAGGUGCGAAAGCGUGGGGAAGCAAACA